rnacentral:rRNA from 1 species
AGAACGAACGCUGGCGGCAGGCUUAACACAUGCAAGUCGAACGCUCGUAGCAAUACGGGAGUGGCAGACGGGUGAGUAACGCGUGGGAACAUACCCUCCGGUUCGGAAUAGCUCAGGGAAACUUGGAUUAAUACCGGAUACGGCUGAGAGGCGAAAGAUUUAUCGCCGGAGGAUUGGCCCGCGUUCGAUUAGCUUGUUGGUGAGGUAACGGCUCACCAAGGCGAUGAUCGAUAGCUGGUCUGAGAGGAUGAUCAGCCACAUUGGGACUGAGACACGGCCCAAACUCCUACGGGAGGCAGCAGUGGGAAUAUUGGACAAUGGGGGAAACCCUGAUCCAGCCAUGCCGCGUGAGUGAUGAAGGCCUUCGGGUUGUAAAACUCUUUCGACGGGACGAUAAUGACGGUACCCGUAGAAGAAGCUCCGGCUAACUUCGUGCCAGCAGCCGC